CUUGGGGUGGGGCUGAGGCUGGGGUGCACAGACCAGCUAUGGAAGUGCUGUUUCCCCUUUUCAGUUAUUCAGUUGUUUUGUUUCAUCUACAUACAGUGUCUUUCCUAUUAAUUUUAUGUUUUAGUGUUGAAGCUCCUCCCCCAUUGCAGAAUACCUUCUCAGUGAAUCUGAGCAUCUAGUCAGCCAUAUUGGAUCUCUCUUCUUUCAUCCUCUAAAAUCAAUGGAGAAAACCCAUGAAGAUCGCCCUAGACUGUCUUACCUAGCAUGUUUGAGGUCCUGAGUUCAAUCCCCAGUAUCAAAAAAGUAUCAAAAGAGACAAAUAUGCAGACAUCUAUAUAAUAAGUGAGUUACAAGAAACAUGGGAGAAGAGGAAAAGAGAAGGGAGAAAAGGGCCAAGGGAAAAUGGGACUGAGAACUGAUGGUUUAUGGAAAGAGACAGAAACUGAGAUGGAAGGACUGAGCAUGGAUGGAUCCUGAGGAUGCUUGCUCUGGAGACUUUGGAGAUAUUUACUUGGACUUACUCUGGAGGAUCUUACCUAGAUCUCAGGACCGAUGUGCUGUGAGAUGGAGAGAUGGUGACUGAUGUACUUCUUUGAAACAGUGAAUGUGCAGUGAAAGUUAACUCCUCUUAUUGGAAACUGAAGACUGCACAGCAUAGGCUGCAGUCACUCAGACAGGC
ensembl:lncRNA